rnacentral:rRNA from 1 species
CGUAGGGUGCAAGCGUUAAUCGGAAUUACUGGACGUAAAGCGUGCGCAGGCGGCUUUGCAAGACAGAUGUGAAAUCCCCGGGCUUAACCUGGGAACUGCAUUUGUGACUGCAUGGCUAGAGUGCGGCAGAGGGGGAUGGAAUUCCGCGUGUAGCAGUGAAAUGCGUAGAUAUGCGGAGGAACACCGAUGGCGAAGGCAAUCCCCUGGGCCUGCACUGACGCUCAUGCACGAAAGCGUGGGGAGCAAACAGGAUUAGAUACCCUGGUAGUCCACGCCCUAAACGAUGUCAACUGGUUGUUGGACGGCUUGCUGUUCAGUAACGAAGCUAACGCGUGAAGUUGACCGCCUGGGGAGUACGGCCGCAAGGUUG